UACGUAGGGGGCAAGCGUUGUCCGGAAUUAUUGGGCGUAAAGGGCGCGUAGGCGGCUUUGCAAGUGACGGGUGAAAGCCCUCGGCUUAACCGAGGAACUGCCUGUCAGACUGUGAGGCUUGAGACCAGGAGAGGUGAGUGGAAUUCCCAGUGUAGCGGUGAAAUGCGUAGAUAUUGGGAGGAACACCAGUGGCGAAGGCGGCUCACUGGACUGGUACUGACGCUGAGGCGCGAAAGCGUGGGGAGCAAACAGG
rnacentral:rRNA from 1 species